GACGAACGCUGGCGGCGUGCUUAACACAUGCAAGUCGAGCGGUAAGGCCCUUUCGGGGGUACACGAGCGGCGAACGGGUGAGUAACACGUGGGUGACCUGCCCUUAGCUCUGGGAUAAGCCUGGGAAACUGGGUCUAAUACCGGAUAUGACUCCAUGACGCAUGUUGUGGGGUGGAAAGCCUUGUGCGGCUAGGGAUGGGCCCGCGGCCUAUCAGCUUGUUGGUGGGGUGAUGGCCACCAAGGCGACGACGGGUAGCCGGCCUGAGAGGGCGACCGGCCACACUGGGACUGAGACACGGCCCAGACUCCUACGGGAGGCAGCAGUGGGGAAUCUUGCGCAAUGGGCGAAAG
rnacentral:rRNA from 1 species